rnacentral:rRNA from 1 species
UACGUAGGGUGCAAGCGUUAAUCGGAAUUACUGGGCGUAAAGCGUGCGCAGGCGGUUUUGUAAGUCUGUCGUGAAAUCCCCGGGCUCAACCUGGGAAUUGCGAUGGAGACUGCAAGGCUAGAAUCUGGCAGAGGGGGGGUAGAAUUCCACGUGUAGCAGUGAAAUGCGUAGAGAUGUGGAGGAACACCGAUGGCGAAGGCAGCCCCCUGGGUCAAGAUUGACGCUC